UCAAAGACAAUUGGAAUCAGUUGAAAAAUGAAACUUACAUUGUUAGCAGUUUUAGCUCUUUUGGGCACUUUCAUGAUGACAGGAGUCGUUGCCGAUUCUUGCCGAAAAGAAGGACAGAGUUGCAGUCGAAAUAGGCAGUGCUGUAGCAAUAAUUGCAAUCAAAAAAGAGGCGUGUGCAAAUAAUAGCUCCUAUAUAGAUAAAAAUAUUCUAAGAUGUUAAUGCAAUAUAGACCGUUGCGAGUUUUAAAUUAUUUAACUCUACAUCACCUAUGAAUGUUCAUCUUCCAAAAAACGGUUACAUUUUACUUCUAUUGCCUACAAAGAUGUUAUAAAAUCAUUUCUUAUUAGAUUUUUCUUAUUAAAUAUUGUAACCUUAUUCCAAAGAAAAUACAUAUUUUAUUAAAGCAUUAA